AGCUCUUUGGAGAAAUGUGCACUCGAAGAAUUGCUCACGUAGAGUCUCACUGUGCUGUCAUCUGAGAAUUCAAGCUCAUUACUGAAACCAUGCUUCCUGUCAGCAUCACGAGAAGAUCACGACAGAAUCAGAGCACCAUGCUUAGCUAGUGGUAUUGUAAAAUCUCCUCAUUAAUGUUUUUAAUUUUUGCUUUCUUGUGUAUAAAAUUGAAUUGAAAUUGUAUGUGUUCUCAUUUACUACAUGUUUGCUUAAACCAUCUUUAAAUAUACCCAUAUUUCUAUUACUUGCCACAUUUUUUUAAUUUACAGCAAGAUAUUUAAGCAGUGGCAUAUAUUUUGAAUAUUAUAUUUUUCAUUAUUUAAAAUAAUAUUUUAAUUCAACAUUUGAUUAAAUUAUACCACUCCCCCAAGCUCUUCAGAUCCACUUCCAUUUUCUACCCAACUUGAAGCUGUUUGGCAAAAAAGAUACAAAAAUCUAAUCAAAACACAGCCCUUAAAAAUCAAGAAAGUAAAACCAUAUUCAAAACACAUAAUCAAAAAACUAUCAAGCAAACGACAAAAACAAACAACAAAAGUAAUGAAGCAAACUGUAACCAUGUAAAAACACACUUUAAAGCUCAGAAAACCGUGGAAUCAAUUUAUUUGUUGAUAAGCUACUGCUGAACCUAUGGCCUGUCCUAGUUAAUGUACCUAGCUUUACUCUUUUUGGAAAACUAAAUUUGUCUCUGUAAUAGGUUAUAUGUGAGAGUUCAGUUGUUAAAUUUUCACAUUAUCAUCAUUUUAUCUUUUUAUUUAUUCAACCAUUCACCAAUUCCUUUAUAAAAUAUAAUAAAAUUAAAUAUAAUAAAAUGAAAAAAAAUAUCAAUAGUAUUAAUAUGCUAGUCAGUACUUUCACAGAGUUACUACUUGCCUCAAUGUAACUGUAUUUUAAUGUUUACUGGGUCCCCAAAACCUGUUUGCAGAAGAGGACCUAUAAGUAGUUUCUGGGAAGAAGUCCCCAGGUAAUUGUAAUUGGUAAAAUAAAGAUGCUAGCAGCAAUUAGUUGGGAACAUGAGACAGCUGUAGGAUUUAAAGUUAUCAGGUUUAAAAAUCAUGAGGAAGAGGAAGUAUUGAGAGAUAUAAUGCCAGAGAACGAGUGUGCACGGGAGAAAACAGAGCCACCAUGUAAAGGGACCAGGAGAACAUGGCCCAUAGGACUGCACAAUAAAGUCAGGAGCAGCCAAAACAGAACAAAGAAAUUAGAAAUUAGUAACUCAGAGGUAUCCGUGGGAGGUAGAUUCUAAGAGCUUAGUGGUUAGGCAGUUGCUUAGUUUUGUGUUGAUUAAGUCAUAUUAACUAUAAAGGCUUUGUGCGUUUCAUUUGGGAAAAUAAACCAUUGAAGAAGGUAGUUACCAGUGAGAAAUUAAUCUCAAAAUUAAUGCUACAACUAUGAUCAUGGCAUUGGGAAAGAGAAAUCAACAUAAAGACAUGAGCCCAUGACAAGGAACAACAAUCAGAGACACACUUAUUUGUUCAAUUGGACAUCCCAUUAACUCCCAUGAUGGGAGGUCAUACUAUAUGUGAGAAGUACCUAGUAUAUUACCAAAGACCUUGGAAUGUAACACUAUAGGUUCUAGGUGGGCAUUGACUUGACAUCUCCAUUUUAAUGAAAUUUCAAAUUACUGUUGGCAAUGGGAUCUUGCUGUCAGUUUGGGCAGAGGAUAUUAUAGUUUUGGCAACAACUUUGCUUGUUUGGAAAUUUCUGUUCUAUUUAUGACAGCUCUUUUGGCCCAUAACUCAAUUAAAUGUAAACCAUUGCAAGUACUGGAAGCUUUGUUUGGUGACAAGUGGUGACCAUUUUAGACUCAUUAUUUGGUGAUUUCAUUUGGAUCACACAUAUAUACACAUACAUACAUACAUACAUACAUACAUACAUACAUACACACACACGCAGAGAGAGAGAAAGAAAGAGAAAGAGAGACAGACAGACACACAGAGAGACACACUACAUACAUACAUACAUACAUAAUUUAUAACAUUUUUAUUAUGUUUUUCUAUUACCCUUCCAUUACUGCUCUAGUGUACUCUUAUUUUUAUCUAUUCCUCUUGUAUUUCCUGUAUUCCUUUCCACAAUCCACUCCCCUUAUCCUAGCUAUUUCUGCCUGUUUUCUCUUUCACAAUUUCCUUUCUUCUUUCAUCCCACUCUUGAUUCCAGCCCCAUUCUCAAUUUGUUAGUUUUUUCUUGUCUCUUACUUAUGUCAGAGUAUGCUUUUGCAAACUUGUAGAUUAUCCAAUAUUUAAGAAAAAAGCCGAGUAUUUACAUUACCUGAUGUCUAUGCUGAACACAGUAUCUGGUAAAAUGUCCAAUGGAAGUGACAACAAUGUAUAUCACAUGGUAUAUUUUUAGAGGAAGAUAUACUGAGGUAUUUAGAAUCUGUGUAUAAUAGCUUUCCACUAAUUUGUAUGGAAUUUCAUUUUGUAACUAUUAUUUGAAUUAUUUUCAGACCACAAAAGUAACAAACGUUUUUAUUUUCUUUUACUGAACAUUGAAAUGAUCAUGUAGUACUUUGCCAUUUCUUGUUUUAAUGUAGUAGUACUUUGUAUGAUCUAUUUAUAAAUGUUAAGGUAUUAGUAUAUAUUUAGGGCACAUUCACAAUUUAGCAUUAUAAAAUAUAUUGUGUUGUAUGGUUUGGAUUGUAUUUGUUUGUAUAUAAAUUCAUUUUGUAUUAUUAUUUGAUUUUUUCUUAUAAUGUGUCUUAUUAUUGUCUUUCCACUUUUCCAAGUAAUCCCAGAUCUUUCUGUCUCCCUAUCAAUAAAAUUUCAUGCACGCUUGCUUGUGUACAAGGUA